rnacentral:rRNA from 1 species
GAUGAACGCUGGCGGCGUGCUUAACACAUGCAAGUCGAACGAUGAAGCCCAGCUUGCUGGGUGGAUUAGUGGCGAACGGGUGAGUAACACGUGAGUAACCUGCCCUUGACUCUGGGAUAAGCCUGGGAAACUGGGUCUAAUACUGGAUAUGACUUCUCAUCGCAUGGUGGGGGGUGGAAAGAUUUAUUGGUCUUGGAUGGACUCGCGGCCUAUCAGCUUGUUGGUGAGGUAAUGGCUCACCAAGGCGACGACGGGUAGCCGGCCUGAGAGGGUGACCGGCCACACUGGGACUGAGACACGGCCCAGACUCCUACGGGAGGCAGCAGUGGGGAAUAUUGCACAAUGGGCGCAAGCCUGAUGCAGCGACGCCGCGUGAGGGGUGACGGCCUUCGGGUUGUAAACCGCUUUCAGUAGGGAAGAAGCGAGAGUGACGGUACCUGCAGAAGAAGCGCCGGCUAACUACGUG